rnacentral:misc_RNA from 1 species
GAAAUGCGAUAAGUAAUGUGAAUUGCAGAAUUCAGUGAAUCAUCGAAUCUUUGAACGCACAUUGCGCCCGCCAGUAUUCUGGCGGGCAUGCCUGUCCGAGCGUCAUUUCAACCAUCAAGCCCCCGGGCUUGUGUUGGGGACCUGCGGCUGCCCGCAGGCCCUGAAAACCAGUGGCGGGCUCGCUGUCACACCGAGCGUAGUAGCAAUCACCUCGCUCAGGGCGUGCUGCGGGUUCCGGCCGUUAAACAGCCUUACAAAACCCAAGGUCGACCUCGGAUCAGGUAGGAAGACCCGCUGAACUUAAGC